ensembl:lncRNA
GUUAACUCUUGUACUUGCAAGCUUAGCAGGUGUUCCUAGAAAUGAUCAAACUAAGCUGUGGAGUAAACACAGAUUAGAAAAUACCUGCACUGGACAUCUCUCUGAACACGAAGGCAGUGGCCCUUGGUGGUUUCUACAGGGAUAACUGCUGUUCAUGGAGCAUUUGUUGGAUGCAGAAGCUGAAAAACCUGUGCAGUGAGGCAAGCCAGCACAGCUCAGUGUGUGGACUUUCAGGAGCUUCUCUGCAAUAAGGAAGCAGGAAAGCCUUCUAGAGAAAGAAAUUGUGUGAAGGCAUCUCUGAAGCAAAUUGCUUUUAGUGUGUACAACAUUGAGGUGCAAGUCUUCUCUUAAAUUACAAACUGUUUCUCUGUGCAUUGGCUGCUUCAUAAAUAUAUUUAAUACUAUGCUAUCCCCAAGGGGCACCUGAUUUACCUCUGUAAGUGAUAAAUUAUUUCAUAAAAUCAUCACUGAUCAUUGAAACUUGCCUUUGUUUUCAGCUUUGAAUGGAAAAGACCUUCCUGGGCAUUUCUGGUCCCUCUACCAGUUCUAGCUGCAUGAAAUCCUCUUUAGUAUAAUCUUAAUGAACAAUUGAAGCACCCUGAAAUAGCUGGAAACUUCAUUUCUAGUUUUGGAUAUCAAAAUGCACUAAGAAAUCCUCAAAUGUUUUUUGACUUAUUUGGAAUUGGUUGAUAUAAAAUGACCCCAAGAUAUUAAGCUAUUUACUUACAAUUCAAAUAAACAUUUAAGCACUGACAUUUUAAAUCUUUGGACCUUGGGUGCCAAUGAAGCAAUUUACUUGACACAUGGCAAGCCACAGAUUUGUGUCAUAGUGCAGAGGCACCAAGUCUGAGGUGGAAAUUCACCUUCAUUGUGCUCAGUUGGCUAGUGCUGGAUUAACAGCAGGACCUAAUAAGCCAUGGACUGGUGCUCAUGCAUGCUUAAGUUAAGAGUAAGAUGGCAUUCUGGGCCAGUACUGACUGUUGCCACCAGCUUCCUGUAGGUACUCUAAAUCAGGGCAGUAUCACCUCAUUAUUGUUUUUAAUGAAUAUUAAUUCUCACUGAGUCAGCUACGUGAGUUGGGCUUAUCCAACAUGCUGCAGAACUGUCAUAUGUCCUGAACAGCAAAUGGAACAGAUCUUUCUUAAGGAAAAAAUAAUACUCUUAUACUGCUAUUUAUCUGGAUGUUAUGUACAAGUAUAAAACAUCUGUCAAAGAAUAAAAGUUAUUAACU